AGGGCAAACUCAAUACACCUUGCCAUUUUGUAAGACCAUGUCUCCCACAGUCUUCUUCUCUCCCUGAAACACAAGUCACUGAUUACCUCUUCGUCCACAGCCAAUCUUCGCGUCUGACUCAAAAGCUAAUUCAGCAUCCAAUCGAAGCACCCAUCUCCUAGCCUGAGCGUCCAGUGGAUUUCACCUUCUCUCCACUGAAACUUGCAUCCCUCACAUCCCUAAUUAUCAAACUCUCAACUCUCGCCCCUACAAUUUCUUCAAUCAUCAAAACCCUAACUCGCUCUCUCUAACUCAUUCACGACCCCCUCGUACUCUACCAUACUCUGAAGCUCGUCUCUGACCUGGCAUCUGGACAGCCCACCUCUCCAGCCUCGUCUUCCCCUCUGUUCGCUCCGACUCAGUGAGUGAGCUUCUCAGAGAUCGAUUCAAACUCUCCACUAUCUCUAUCGCUGAAGCCGAAGUGACUUCGAUUUCAUUUAAGGUUUUCUCAGUUUUCAAUUCUCGUUCUCCUAGCAGUGAAGAGAAGCAGCUUCUUGGGCUAUGAAGCCUCGAGUUGGGGAACGAUUCCGAAUCGGCCGGAAGAACAGUAGUAUAUCCAAGCUGUGGCAUGAGGGCUUUGAGCUGGGGUCCGAUUACGGCAGUUAGGGCUUUGAGCCCAGAAAGGUCGUUACCAGAGCUCGAUUAUUCACCGGUUUCAAUGGAGCUCGCCCCCUUCUGCAGAGAAGCCCAAUUUGAUUGGCUCAUCGUUGAGGCUCAACAGCUCCAGCAGUUGUUCGUCAUCAUUUGAAUGGUUGAAUGAUUCUAUGCUCUCCUUUUAUAUUAUGCAGGGCAAGCAUAGAAUUAUCUUCAUUAUUUUGGCUGGAAGCUUCAAAAGCAAUGAAAUUAUCCUUUUCAAGCACAUAAAUUGCAGUAAAGGAACAAGGACAAUAAGGUCAGUGAACCAAAUUCAGAUGUGAGGGAAGUGGGAGUUUCAAAAUUGAAGUUGAUGCACCAGAGGAUAAGGGGUUAAGGCACACCAUGGAUAACACUUAGGUUCUACUCCUGGAUGUGUGCACAUUUUGCAAUUCAUGAUGAGCAUAGGAGGUUCAUUAGCAGCAGAAUAUGCUAAGAAGGAUUUGGAUAAAUAUCUACGUUCAGUUGCAUUAUCAUGGGUUAUGAGUGGUUGCUUCUUAUGUAGCAAGCCUAAAGCAUUUUUAGUGGAGAAAUAAGUGGAUCAUGCACUUCAGCAAAUCAGGUUUGAUAAAAUUCUAGAUGAGAUGUUAAGUCACGUGGAGCGCCAGCCUAGGAAUAAGGAGCGUUGUGUUGCAUGGCUUCGUUACGUAGAGCCGCUUUUUAAUGGUGUUGGUCUGGUGUUACUAGCUCAUUUCAGGCGCAUUUUCCAUCUUUUCUUUAAGUGGAUGCAAGCUGAUGACGAUGAGACUGUUUUACUAGUUCUCAAACAGAUUGAAACAGUUAUAAAGCUAACAUGGAUUAGGAAUACACCAUAUGUGGAAAGGUAUUAUUUAAUUCAUCGCUUCGCUUCAUGAGGUUGGUGGAUGAACUUGCUACUUUGCACAAAGAAGCAGCAUUGAGAAGAUCUCGUGAAGAAAUUCGAAAUCUUGUUAUUCGUAAACUGAACUUGCUCCAUCAAUGCAAGGGUCUGCAGUUCGAUAUAGGCCCAAAGUCAUGGGAGAACUUGACAAGAUAGCCAUGUCUCUUGGGGCUUCCUAUUUGUUGAUUACGCUUUUUUAGUUCUUCUUAUUUUUUGUUUGAAACCUUUUGAGUUUGGUUAUUUGCAUAAGGAGUUUGUGUUACAUGCAUAUGGUGCAUGUUUGAGCUGAAAAUAAAUUAGAAGGUCAGAAUGUACAGGUAGCGCAUAAUCUGCAUAUAUAUAUUGCAAAUCUGUGGAGAUGUUGAACCCCCUAUAUAUGUAUACAUAUGAUUGGUAAGCUAGAAUUACAAACCAUCUUGCUAUAUAAUAUGGUAAAUAUGUGGGUGGAAUGAAGACAUAUAUUACAUAUGUCAAAUCGAGCAGGCAAAGACACCCGGAUUAGAUGAGCUGAGUUAUGACUUUGUAACUUUCGGCGAUGCUUAUGAUGCAUAUGGUGCACAAACCACAAAUUGCAGAAUGCCUAUUUGAAAUUGCAGAAUGGUUGAAUCAUUUGUUAAUUGAUGUUUUAGUUCCCAUGUCUUUUUAGUUCCAUAUUCUGGUUGUGGAUGAUAGCAUCAUACAUAGGAAGGUUAUUGAAAAGCUAUAUAAUAUUUAUUGCUCUAAAUGUAGCUAGAUGUCUGUGAAUGAGUCACUGAAAGAAUAAUAAGAUUUUGUUUUGUAGUGAUUGCUUUUGACAGUGGAAUCGGGGCUUUAAGAUAAUGGGUGAGUGUUUUUGCUAUUAGUUGUGUUUCUGUUGCACCUAUUUUUUAUCUAUUGAGGAUAUUGCAGUGCAGCUGUUGUUUAGUCUCUUGAAAUUGGGGUUCGUCUGAUUCUUUGUGUGGUUGUACUUGUAGUCUUUGUUGUUGAUAGGUUUCGAAGUUUGGUUGUCUUCCAGGUUCACAACAUAUUUACCAUAUUUCAAUUUUGGUAAACAAUUGCAUGUUUUGGGAAGCCUUGCUUGAGAAAUUUGACUUCUUUUGGUAAACAAGUGUAGUUUAUAAAUGUAGUCUGUUUAACUUUGUUUAUAUUGACUCUUUUAUGUCCAUGCCUCACUUUCAUAUAAUAAAUUGAUUCAGUGGAAGAGGAGAGGCAACAGUCAAUAUACCCAAGCAGAUAUAGAUAUAUAUGAUGCGAAAUAAAUAGGCAAAGUAUGUCAUGAAGGCAUAUGUGUAGGAGCUAAAGGAAAGCAUAAGAGGAAGUAGGUUGUUGCUGAAGGAAAGCAUCAUUUUUGUGCUUCUCUGCUGGUACAAUAUUCAUGCACUGUGUGGCAUGUUUUGUAACAAAUAGUUUGUAUUUGUAAUAGCUUUUGAUGUCCCAAGUAGAUGGGCAUGCAGUUGAAUGUUUUUGUUCUUUCAAUGUUGGCUUGGAUGAUUGGGAAAUCCUCCCUUUUAACAUUUGAAUGCUUUUCUUCAAAUAGUAUGAGUUGGAUUACUCAUUUCAUA